rnacentral:rRNA from 1 species
UAGGGAAUCUUCCACAAUGGGCGAAAGCCUGAUGGAGCAACGCCGCGUGUGUGAUGAAGGGUUUCGGCUCGUAAAACACUGUUGUAAGAGAAGAAUGACAUUGAGAGUAACUGUUCAAUGUGUGACGGUAUCUACCAGAAAGGAACGGCUAAAUACGUGCCAG